AUUGAACGCUGGCGGCAGGCCUAACACAUGCAAGUCGAACGGUAACAGGAAGCAGCUUGCUGUUUCGCUGACGAGUGGCGGACGGGUGAGUAAUGUCUGGGAAACUGCCUGAUGGAGGGGGAUAACUACUGGAAACGGUAGCUAAUACCGCAUAAUGUCGCAAGACCAAAGAGGGGGACCUUCGGGCCUCUUGCCAUCGGAUGUGCCCAGAUGGGAUUAGCUUGUUGGUGGGGUAACGGCUCACCAAGGCGACGAUCCCUAGCUGGUCUGAGAGGAUGACCAGCCACACUGGAACUGAGACACGGUCCAGACUCCUACGGGAGGCAGCAGUGGGGAAUAUUGCACAAUGGGCGCAAGCCUGAUGCAGCCAUGCCGCGUGUAUGAAGAAGGCCUUCGGGUUGUAAAGUACCUUCAGCGGGGAGGAAGGGAGUAAAGUUAAUACCUUUGCUCAUUGACGUUACCCGCAGAAGAAGCACCGGCUAACUCCGUGCCAGCAGCCGCGGUAAUACGGAGGGUGCAAGCGUUAAUCGGAAUUACUGGGCG
rnacentral:rRNA from 1 species